CAGUGAUAAACUGGAGGAAGGUGGGGAUGACGUCAAGUCAUCAUGGCCCUUACGACCAGGGCUACACACGUGCUACAAUGGCGCAUACAAAGAGAAGCGACCUCGCGAGAGCAAGCGGACCUCAUAAAGUGCGUCGUAGUCCGGAUUGGAGUCUGCAACUCGACUCCAUGAAGUCGGAAUCGCUAGUAAUCGUGGAUCAGAAUGCCACGGUGAAUACGUUCCCGGGCCUUGUACACACCGCCCGUCACACCAUGGGAGUGGGUUGCAAAAGAAGUAGGUAGCUUAACCUUCGGGAGGGCGCUUACCACUUUGUGAUUCAUGACUGGGGUGAAGUCGUAACAAGGUAACCGUAGGGGAACCUGCGGUU
rnacentral:rRNA from 2 species